rnacentral:rRNA from 1 species
GAUUAUGGCUCAGAACGAACGCUGGCGGCGCGUCUUAAGCAUGCAAGUCGAACGGCAAGAGGUAGCAAUACCUCCUAGAGUGGCGGACUGGUGAGUAACACGUGGGUGACAUACCCUUCAGAUGGGGAUAGCUAUUAGAAAUAGUAGAUAAUACCGAAUACGAGCACAGGGGUUAGAGAUCUGUGAGGAAGGGAGCUAAGGCUCCGCUGAAGGAAUGGCCUGCGGCCCAUUAGCUAGUUGGUGAGGUAAGAGCCCACCAAGGCGAUGAUGGGUAUCCGGCCUUAGAGGGUGAACGGACACAUUGGGACUGAGAUACGGCCCAGACUCCUACGGGAGGCAGCAGCUAAGAAUAUUCCGCAAUGGACGAAAGUCUGACGGAGCGACGCCGCCGUGGAUGAAGAAGGCCGGAAGGUUGUAAAAUCCUUUUGAAACUGAAGAAUAAGCGUUGUAGGGAAUGACAGCGUGGUGACAGUAGGUUUUGAAUAAGCAACGGCUAAUUACGUGCCAGCCGCCGC